GACGAACGCUGGCGGCGUGCUUAACACAUGCAAGUCGAGCGAUGAAGCACCUUCGGGUGUGAAUUAGCGGCGAACGGGUGAGGAACACGUGAGAAAUCUGCCUUCAACUCUGGGAUAACUCCGUGAAAACGGGGCUAAUACCGGAUAUGAGAUCUACAGGCAUCUGUGGAUCUGGAAAGUUUUUCGGUUGAAGAUGAUCUCGCGGCCUAUCAGCUUGUUGGUGAGGUAAUGGCUCACCAAGGCGACGACGGGUAGCCGGCCUGAGAGGGCGACCGGCCACACUGGGACUGAGACACGGCCCAGACUCCUACGGGAGGCAGCAGUGGGGAAUAUUGGGCAAUGGAGGAAACUCUGACCCAGCGACGCCGCGUGCGGGAUGAAGGCCUUCGGGUU
rnacentral:rRNA from 1 species